UACCAGCACCCCGAGUGGUCGGGACGAUUAUUGGGCCUAAAGCAUCCGUAGCCGGUUCUACAAGUCUUCCGUUAAAUCCAGCUGCUUAACAGAUGGGCUGCGGAAGAUACUAUGGAGCUAGGAGGCGGGAGAGGCAAGCGGUACUCGAUGGGUAGGGGUAAAAAUCCGUUGAUCCAUUGAAGACCACCAGUGGCGAAGGCGGCUUGCCAGAACGCGCUCGACGGUGAGGGAUGAAAGCUGGGGGGAGCAAACCGG
rnacentral:rRNA from 1 species